GCAUUGGUGGUUCAGUGGUAGAAUUCUCGCCUGCCACGCGGGAGCCAGGGUUCGAUUCCCGGCCAAUGCA
rnacentral:tRNA from 1 species